rnacentral:rRNA from 1 species
AUUGAACGCUGGCGGCAUGCCUUACACAUGCAAGUCGAACGGUAACAGGUCUUCGGAUGCUGACGAGUGGCGAACGGGUGAGUAAUACAUCGGAACGUGCCCGAUCGUGGGGGAUAACGAGGCGAAAGCUUUGCUAAUACCGCAUACGAUCUACGGAUGAAAGCAGGGGAUCUUCGGACCUCGCGCGGACGGAGCGGCCGAUGGCAGAUUAGGUAGUUGGUGGGAUAAAAGCUUACCAAGCCGACGAUCUGUAGCUGGCCUGAGAGGAUGAUCAGCCACACUGGGACUGAGACACGGCCCAGACUCCUACGGGAGGCAGCAGUGGGGAAUUUUGGACAAUGGGCGAAAGCCUGAUCCAGCCAUGCCGCGUGCAGGAUGAAGGCCUUCGGGUUGUAAACUGCUUUUGUACGGAACGAAAAGCCUCUUUCUAAUAAAGAGGGGUCAUGACGGUACCGUAAGAAUAAGCACCGGCUAACUACGUG